rfam:Aedes albopictus isolate Foshan contig71863, whole genome shotgun sequence.
CUCCAGAUAGCCUUGUGGAUAAGGCUUCGGAUUGCCAAUCCGCAGACGGCGAGUUCGAUUCCCGUUCGGGUCG